rnacentral:rRNA from 1 species
GGGGCCAAGGGGGGGUACUAUACAUGCAAGUCGAGCGGACAGAUGGGAGCUUGCUCCCUGAUGUUAGCGGCGGACGGGUGAGUAACACGUGGGUAACCUGCCUGUAAGACUGGGAUAACUCCGGGAAACCGGGGCUAAUACCGGAUGGUUGUUUGAACCGCAUGGUUCAAACAUAAAAGGUGGCUUCGGCUACCACUUACAGAUGGACCCGCGGCGCAUUAGCUAGUUGGUGAGGUAACGGCUCACCAAGGCAACGAUGCGUAGCCGACCUGAGAGGGUGAUCGGCCACACUGGGACUGAGACACGGCCCAGACUCCUACGGGAGGCAGCAGUAGGGAAUCUUCCGCAAUGGACGAAAGUCUGACGGAGCAACGCCGCGUGAGUGAUGAAGGUUUUCGGAUCGUAAAGCUCUGUUGUUAGGGAAGAACAAGUACCGUUCGAAUAGGGCGGUACCUUGACGGUACCUAACCAGAAAGCCACGGCUAACUACGUGCCAGCAGCCGCGGUAAUACGUAGGUGGCAAGCGUUGUCCGGAAUUAUUGGGCGUAAAGGGCUCGCAGGCGGUUUCUUAAGUCUGAUGUGAAAGCCCCCGGCUCAACCGGGGAGGGUCAUUGGAAACUGGGGAACUUGAGUGCAGAAGAGGAGAGUGGAAUUCCACGUGUAGCGGUGAAAUGCGUAGAGAUGUGGAGGAACACCAGUGGCGAAGGCGACUCUCUGGUCUGUAACUGACGCUGAGGAGCGAAAGCGUGGGGAGCGAACAGGAUUAGAUACCUUGGUAGUCCAAAAA